rnacentral:rRNA from 1 species
AACGAACGCUGGCGGCAUGCCUAACACAUGCAAGUCGAACGAGACCUUCGGGUCUAGUGGCGCACGGGUGCGUAACGCGUGGGAACCUGCCUUUAGGUUCGGAAUAACUCAGAGAAAUUUGAGCUAAUACCGGAUAAUGUCUUCGGACCAAAGAUUUAUCGCCUUUAGAUGGGCCCGCGUAAGAUUAGCUAGUUGUGGGGUAAAGCCUACCAAGGCGACGAUCUUUAGCUGGUCUGAGAGGAUGAUCAGCCACACUGGGACUGAGACACGGCCCAGACUCCUACGGGAGGCAGCAGUGGGGAAUAUUGGACAAUGGGCGAAAGCCUGAUCCAGCAAUGCCGCGUGCAGGAUGACGGCCCUAUGGGUUGUAAACUGCUUUUAUACAAGAGAAAACCCUGGUACGUGUACCAGGUUGAUAGUAUUGUAAGAAUAAGCAUCGGCUAACUUCGUGCCAGCAGCCGCGGUAA